rnacentral:rRNA from 1 species
GUGAGGAAUAUUGGUCAAUGGGCGAGAGCCUGAACCAGCCAAGUCGCGUGAAGGAAGAAGGAUCUAUGGUUCGUAAACUUCUUUUGCAGGGGAAUAAAGUGCAGGACGUGUCCUGUUUUGUAUGUACCCUGAGAAUAAGGAUCGGCUAACUCCGUGCCAGCAGCCGCGGUAAUACGGAGGAUCCGAGCGUUAUCCGGAUUUAUUGGGUUUAAAGGGUGCGUAGGUGGUUUGAUAAGUCAGCGGUGAAAGUUUGCAGCUUAACUGUAAAAAUGCCGUUGAAACUGUCGGACUUGAGUGUAAAUGAGGUAGGCGGAAUGCGUGGUGUAGCGGUGAAAUGCAUAGAUAUCACGCAGAACUCCGAUUGCGAAGGCAGCUUACUAAGCUACAACUGACACUGAAGCACGAAAGCGUGGGGAUCAAACAGGAUUAGAAACCCGUGUAGUCC